rnacentral:lncRNA from 9 species
UUUUCUUUUUACGGCUGCACCUGAAGCACAUAGACAAGUUCCCAGAUGUGACCUUAAAAAGAAAAAAAAAAAAAAAAAAGGUUGUCGGCCAAGUCUUGGGGUUCUUCCAUUAAAACAGGGACAGGUCUCUUGACUCCAACUCUGCUCACCUCCCAGUGGUCCUGAACCUGCAGGCAGCAGGGUUCCCCAUGAAGAAUUCAAUGUUGCUCCCGACAUAGAAGCUGCAAGGAGUAAUCCAGUCUAGAUCUUAGUCCACUAUGUCCUGACCCUAAGAUUCCCAAAGGGUGAAAACCCCACCACGAAAUCGAACACAAGAACGAGGCAGCUCUUGAAGGAAAACGGAGAAGGGAGGCAGCAGCCAAGGGGCGAGGGGGGCUCUUUACAGGUUGUGCGGGCUGUGCAGGCAAGAGCCUGCAUGCGGCAGAGCAGAAGUCACUAAGGAGGAAUCCAGCAGCCCCCCGCGGUGCUCAGGGCUCAGGGGAUGCGUGGGUGUGUAAAGCAUGAGGUCACCCUCAACAGGGUGUCAAACCCACACUGUUGGCUGCAAACCGGCUCCCCACACACUCCUACCAUUGGAACGUGCAUUUCUGCAGGGAAAGCGAGUUCUAAAAAUGGACAAGCUGGUCCAUCUGGCCGCCACCUGUCCUAAAGGAUGCCUGUUUUUAGGAUGGGUGAUGCCCUCCACGGCUUUAGCGGGUGGAACGUCGAGGUGUCCUGUGACUGGUGUACAGACGGGGUGUCGGUCGGCUGGGGAGAGAAGAUGCUAGAAGCUGGCAGGAAAUACCAGGGUGGGAGUGUAUAAACCACCCAGGAUGGGAACAGGGCAGCUUCCUGGGAACCCAAGGUCUGCCUAGGGAGGAACACCCACUCACACCUGGUGUGGAAAAGUGGGUUUUAUUUGCCCCCCAAGACAAGGAGAACCGACAGGAUGACGCAAGCUGCCAAUGAAUCUCAGCCUGAAGCACAUUUACAGAAAUGCAAAAUCAUUUCUUUCAGAUAUCAGGGACGGUAGGUUACGGGAAUAAUCCACCAGUGAUAAUCAUGAGCGAAUAAAGAAGAUGCGGUACGUGCAGAAAGUGGAAUACUACUCGGCCAUGAAAAAGAAUGAAAUCAUGCCC